rnacentral:rRNA from 1 species
CUACGGGUUGCAGCAGGCGAGAAAACUUUGCAAUGUGCGAAAGCACGACAAGGUUAAUCCGAGUGGUUUCUGCUAAAGGAACCUUUUGACAGUCCUAGAAACACUGUUGAAUAAGGGGUGGGCAAGUUCUGGUGUCAACCGCCGCGGUAAAACCAGCACCUCAAGUGGUCAGGAUGAUUAUUGGGCCUAAAGCAUCCGUAGCCGGCUCUGUAAGUUUUCGGUUAAAUCUGUACGCUCAACGUACAGGCUGCCGGGAAUACUGCAGAGCUAGGGAGUGGGAGAGGUAGACGGUACUCGGUAGGAAGGGGUAAAAUCCUUUGAUCUAUUGAUGACCACCUGUGGCGAAGGCGGUCUACCAGAACACGUCCGACGGUGAGGGACGAAAGCUGGGGGAGCAAACCGGAUUAGAUACCCGUGUAGUC